AAGUCGUAACAAGGUUUCCGUAGGUGAACCUGCGGAAGGAUCAUUAAUGAAAUUCUGACUGAGGUUGUAGCUGGCUUUCCUACCCGGGGAGCACGUGCACGCUUCUUUCAAAAUCCACAAACACCUGUGCACCUUUGCGUGGGUUUCUGGGGAACGGGGGUGGUAAUAACGCGCCCUCUAGUACCGGGAGCUCGCGUCCUUUUCACAAACUCUUGUAUGUCUUUAAGAAUGUCUAUCUUGAUGUAAUAAAACGCAUCUAAUACAACUUUCAACAACGGAUCUCUUGGCUCUC
rnacentral:misc_RNA from 1 species